rnacentral:lncRNA from 1 species
CCCAACAACCAAAAAUCAAUCCCAAAACAAAACAAAAAUAUUAAAAUCCAAAUCAAAAGUCCAUCAGUCCAAAUAUUACAAAACAACCCAAAACAAUUACAAUAGCCCAAUACCCAAAAACCCAAUUCUAAACCCAAGCAAACCCAUAACCCAAUACCCAAAUAAAACAAACUGGGCCUAUGUGGCCUAAGACCAGAUUAUCCACAGAAACCUUAGGGUUUCCACCUUGGCGCCACAGCCUUCAGCCUCCGUACGCUCCCAUGCACGACCUCCAUACACCCCAGCGCCGCUCGUGCCUCCACGUCCUCCCCCAUAUCUUCAUGAAGACAAAAAAAGCACAGCACAACAGCAAAAAAGAAAAACGAGACAAGAAAAUAUUGUAUUUUUUCUUUAUUUUUCUCAUUCAGCUAUAAAGCCAUCUUCUUUUUCAAUUGUAUAGGAGGACGUUUUUUAUUAAGAACAGACGCAUAUAUGAAAAAAGAAAUCAAUUCAAAAAGAGUUUACCAAAGGUGAUUCGUAGAUUAUUUCUCUGUUCUUAUUCUUUUUUUUUUACUUUAUUUUGAAUCUAUUUGACGAAUCUAAAAAAAGAGAGGGUUUACUCACUAUUUUUGGUGUCGAUUUAGUCGACGUUGGCUCCUCCAGUCCAAGGGUUGACAGAUCUUUGUGGAUCUAGCUGAAACCGUGGUGGUGGAGGUGCGUUAGUCGCCGAUGAAGCCCACGAUCGACUCAGAGAGAAAGGUUAAAAGAUUUUGGUGAGAAAGGUUUUAAGUUUUUUUCUUGUUUGUUUUUGAAGGAAUAGUCGGCUGAAUGAGUAUUUUAGGUUUUGUUUUUUCUUUAUAUAUGAUAAUAAAACGGCGCCGUUUACAACAAGAAGGGUCUGUGCGUCAACCCGAUUAACAGGCCGGAUCUGGGCCUUUUCAUUCGAAGUGGGGAAUUUGCACGUUAGAUCCUUCCUUUCGCGCGAGCAUUCAAUUGCGCCCUAUUUGUUUUUACUUUUUUUUAAUUUGGCUCUUUAAUUCGUGCUCGUAUUCAUUUGAGUCCGCGGUACUUCACUGCUUUUUGGGGCCUGGAUUAUUUCUAGUUUUAGUCCUUACACAUUUGCG